rnacentral:rRNA from 1 species
AGCGAACGCUGGCGGCAGGCCUAACACAUGCAAGUCGAACGGACCCUUCGGGGUUAGUGGCGGACGGGUGAGUAACACGUGAGAACGUGCCUUUAGGUUCGGAAUAGCUCCUGGAAACGGGUGGUAAUGCCGAAUGUGCCCUUCGGGGGAAAGAUUUAUCGCCUUUAGAGCGGCCCGCGUCUGAUUAGCUAGUUGGUGAGGUAACGGCUCACCAAGGCGACGAUCAGUAGCUGGUCUGAGAGGAUGACCAGCCACACUGGGACUGAGACACGGCCCAGACUCCUACGGGAGGCAGCAGUGGGGAAUCUUGCGCAAUGGGCGAAAGCCUGACGCAGCCAUGCCGCGUGAAUGAUGAAGGUCUUAGGAUUGUAAAAUUCUUUCACCGGGGACGAUAAUGACGGUACCCCGAGAAGAAGCCCCGGCUAACUUCGUGCCAGCCGCCGCCGUAA